UGGCACACACAGGGGAUCAUGGAUUUUUCUUUGGCUGUCAGCUCUUGAAAUUACCCAGCAAUCCCAAAAUGAAUUUCCACUAAUCUGACAGUUUCGCCUCUCCUGAGUAUGAUGUACUGUAUAUUCAGUGGUCAGCAGGGACUACUUAAUUGCAAUGAAGAAACUGAAGCUCAGAGAAGCUAAGAGACUUCCCAAGAUAUGCGGGUGUUUGAGCAUAGCCGAGAUUUGAGCCCAGGUCUGCCUGCUAACAACCUACUUCUCUUGCACUACGCUACACUGCUCUAGAGUUACUAGCCAUUGUGGAGUUUAAAUAGCUCUUUUACAGAAUUCUCCACAAAUUGACAGAGGCUUGAUAUAACCUGGGCUUGCUUGCUUUGUGAAGGGCAGGACUAUUUAAGAGGAACCAAAUACUGAGGUGUACCCAAGCAGCUCCAGGUGACCACCUGCAUCAUUAUAAAGAUACCACUGACUGUGGCGCCGGAAACAGAACAUUCCAUUCUCCGCGUACAGAUGUUGAAGCGAGACAGUCCGGGUUUGAAUCCUGACUCCAUACUAACUAGCCCUGUGACAUUGAGCAAGUUAUCAAUACUCUUUGGACCUCUGUUUUCUCAUUGGAAAAUGGAAGACUAAGAACAUCUCCCUCAUUGGAUUAUUAUGAAGAUUUUUUCAAGUCAGUGCAUGAAAAGUGCUGAUGAUAUCUGGUCCAUAGAAGGAAAUUUGGAUGCCCAGAUGCUCAGGGAAGAAGGCCAUGUGAAGACAAAGGCAGACCCUGGAGAUGCUAUCACAGCCAAGGUUCACUAAGAAUUACUGGUAAUCACCGGAAGCUGGAAGAAGACAGGAUUUUCCCAAGAGCCUUUGGGGAAAACAUGACCCUGCCCACCACCUUGAUUUGGAACCUCUACCCUCCAGAACUAUAGUGUGGGUGAGGAAGCUGGACAGAGCACAAAGGAUGACCAGCCUCUGCUUCACCAUGUCGGGGGCAUCUACCGAGAAGACUGGGACACUCAGGUUAACUGGCGAUUGGGAGCUGAAAUGAUCUGGAGUGGCUUCUCUCGUGUGGCUGAUGGUUAAUGCUGGGUGUUGGUGGGACUUCAGCUGGAUUUAUUGAUUGUAACAACCUCACGUUGGCUUCUCCACACGGCUGCUUGGGCUGCCUCACAGCAUGGCAGCCCCAGGGUAUUUGCACUUCUUCCGUACGGUCAGGUGAAUGCCUCAUCUCACAAGACAGAAGCCACAACACUGUUUGCGCCCUAUGGUCAAAAGGCACACAGCUUCACUCCCAUCACAUUCUGUUGGUUACAAGUGAGUCACAAGUCUGCCCAGACUCAAAGGAAGAAAAAUUAGACUCUCCUUCUGGAUAAGGCAGUGGGUGCCUUCUAGAAAUCGUAGCACCGGAGAUAUUCGCACUGCCGUCUUUGGGAAACACAAUCUGCCACACCCACCUAACAUCCCUGCAAAUAGGUGUGAAUAAUCCAUUUCAUAGAUGAAGGGAGCAGAUGCAGAGAAGACAUAAUUUGCUCAAGUCAAACAGCCAGACAAUAAGUGGCUGAGCAAAGAUUCAAACUCCGGUCCUCUCGUCCCCAGAUUUCCCUCUCCCCCACACAUCACUGCUGUCAUAUCAGGUGGAGAUUAUGUGUUUCAUCCUUCCCUGAUUGUUUGUCAGGGAGACAUACCCAGAUCCCAAAUGUUGCCUUACACAGAGGUUGUGUCUUCCUGCAAUUUACCAACAGCAUUGCCGGUGCAAUAACCUGAGCUUCAGUAGUUGACAUUGAAAUGAGUCCCCUCUGAAGGUCCAGAGCAAUUGCUAUUAAGGGACCAGACUUUGAGCAGAGUUUGCAACUUCAGGAUGGCAGCCUAUCCACAGCGAUCGUUGACGCUGGUGAAAAAUGAUCUUCCGCCUUUGUGACACUAUUAUUUGGGUAUUUACCACAAAGGCCCUUAAAUGGGCCCUUUUCGAUCAGAAAAGAAGAAAUAAGCUGGGGGGGGGGGCUGUGGUGGGGGAGAAUGGCUAAAUUUAAAUGUAACUGCUCAAAUUGUUUUGUCCUUAGAUGGAUGGUAGGUCUUUCUCAUUAUUCACCAAGCACAGACAUGCAACCAAGAGCGAUUUGGCAACUUGCGAAGAUAAAUCACAACCAGGAUGGCUGCUGUCACUGUCAUAGCGAGAGCAUGGCUCUGGAGGCGACAGAGUGUGGGAGCAAGUACGCAUACCGGCCCCACUGGUGCACAGGCAGGGAGAAAAAGUAGGACCCAGAGAAAGGAAAACAGAAGAAAAGCAAUAAAAAUUCCAUGUCUCCCUCUACGUUGUUCCCAAGUGCCAUGCUUUCGAGAGAACUAAUGUUUUUGUGAGUUCUCAACAGGUCAGAAAGAAGACAGAUGGCAGGUUACUGGAACAGGCUUGGGGGGGGGGGGCGGGUGCAGGUUAUGAAUUUAACCAUCCAACAAGAAGAAAACACAUAUUCAAUAUGUAGCUUAGGAGAAGAUGGAAGAAAGCAUCCAGACACUCAAAGAAUCUGAAGGGAGUUGUAUUUUUAAGAUAUUUUUAGAUGAAAUCUUUUACACAUGGCACAAAGCUGAGAGCCUCCCAAAUUAUCUUUGCCUAUCCUAUGUUUACAAUCUACAUUUUUGUGCCGAUAAGAGCAACAUCUUCUAAUAAUAUAAAUUUUAGCAAAUAUAGAAAAAUGUAUAAAACCCCAUAAUCUUUUCAUCCAGGAGCAACCAAUAUAAAUAUUUUGUUAGGCAGCUUUCUGGUGUUCCCUUGUGUGUAUAUACACACAACUACGUGUGUUGCAAAAGUGGCCUCACCGGAAACCUAAUAGUUUGUGACCUGCAGUUUGUCCUUCAUAUAUCAUCAGUGCCUU